GUUUCCCACGCGGAUUUCCGAUAAACAAGGGGAAAUUGCGAAGUUACUAAAUUUGCCUGAUAACGCACACACGCAGCAAUGGCGUAAGACGUAAUGCGAAAUCAAGCAGUUAGCGGGCUGUGGAUUGCAGCUUGGCCGGCAAAUGGAAUCAGAUCUGGCGACAUUAUUCAGAAGCUGUUCCCUCAGUAAAUGCGCUGUUUUCCAUCAGGAAAUACAGGCUACCGAAACAUGCGUCUCUAUGCAGGCGACAACCGGGAGGUUGACGUCCCUGCGAUAAGCCACGAGGCCAUCGGUUCACUCCGGUCAUGCGGUUCUUUUUGUCCGCAGCUCUAUCAAUA
rnacentral:ncRNA from 1 species